ACGAAGGGGGCAAGCGUUGUUCGGAAUUACUGGGCGUAAAGGGCGUGUAGGCGGUUUAAUCAGUCAGAGGUGAAAUCCCUGGGCUCAACCCAGGAAUUGCCUUUGAUACUGUUAGACUAGAGUUCGGGAGAGGAUAGUGGAAUUCCCAGUGUAGAGGUGAAAUUCGUAGAUAUUGGGAAGAACACCAGUGGCGAAGGCGGCUAUCUGGACCGAUACUGACGCUGAGGCGCGAAAGCGUGGGGAGCAAACAGG
rnacentral:rRNA from 1 species